rnacentral:rRNA from 1 species
UUCCGGUUGAUCCUGCCGGACCCGACUGCUAUCAGAGUGAGAUUAAGCCAUGCGAGUUAACGUAGCAAUACGUGGCGCACGGCUCAGUAACACGUAGUCAACAUGCCCAGAGGACGUGGAUAACCUCGGGAAACUGAGUCUAAACCGCGAUAAGUGAGGAUUUCUGGAAUGGUUCCUGACUAAAAUCUAUAUGGCCUCUGGAUUGGACUGCGGCCGAUCAGGCUGUUGGUGAGGUAAUGGCCCACCAAACCUGUAACCGGUACGGGCUCCGAGAGAAGAAGCCCGGAGAUGGGCACUGAGACAAGGGCCCAGGCCCUAUGGGGCGCAGCAGGCGCGAAACCUCUGCAAUAGGCGAAAGCCUGACAGGGUUACUCUGAGUGAUUUCCGCUAAGGGGAUCUUUUGGCACCUCUAAAAUGGUGCAGAAUAAGGGGUGGGCAAGUCUGGUGUCAGCCGCCGCGGUAAUACCAGCACCCCGAGUGGUCGGGACGAUUAUUGGGCCUAAAGCAUCCGUAGCCGGUUCUGCAAGUCUUCCGUUAAAUCCAGCCGCUCAACGGAUGGGCCGCGGAGGAUACUACAGGACUAGGAGGCGGGAGAGGCAAGCGGUACUCAGUGGGUAGGGGUAAAACCCUUUGAUCCAUUGAAGACCACCAGUGGCGAAGGCGGCUUGCCAGAACGCGCUCGACGGUGAGGGAUGAAAGCUGGGGGAGCAAACCGGAUUAGAUACCCGGGUAGUCCCAG